rnacentral:rRNA from 1 species
GUCUUUUUGUCUAUAUUUAAAGUCUGACCUGCCCACUGUUAAAUAUAAAUGGCCGCAGUAUUUUGACUGUGCAAAGGUAGCAUAAUCAUUAGUUUUUUAAUUAAAAGCUGGAAUGAAGGGUUAAAUGAAAAAACACUUUUUUUUAUAUUAUAGUUAAAAUUUAAUUUUUAAGUUAAAAAGCUUAAAUAUUAAUUAAAGACGAGAAGACCCUAUAGAGUUUAAUAAUUUUUUUUAAUGAUUGUUUAUGGUAUCAAUUAUUUAUUAAAAAAAAUUAUUUAAUUGGGGUGAUUAUUAAAUAUAAAUAACUUUAAUUUUUUUAUACAUAGAUUAAUGAAUAUUUGAUCCAUUUAAUUGAUUAAUAGAUAAAAUUACCUAAGGGAUAACAGCGUAAUUUUUUUGAAGAGUUCUAAUCGAUAAAAAAGAUUGCGACCUCGAUGUUGGAUUAAAAUUAAUAAUUUGGUGUAGAAGCUAAUUAAUUUGGUCUGUUCGACCAUUAAAAUUUUACA